CGAUACACCUUGAGGCUUGUUAUUUGGUUAGUAUAUCCUAUGCAUCAAUCAUGAACCAAAUUACAAUUCAAAUAGUUGAUCUUAAGAGCCUCUAACUUAAUGAAAAAGGGGAAGAAUAAUGUGUUGAAUUUUCUUGAGUAUCUCAUAGAAAAUCUAUUUUGGAAUUCACUAAUGAGUCCUAAUUGGCUUACUCUUUAGAACUUCAAUUUUGUGCCAAUUCAUAUCUCUAUAUAUAUAUCAAAUUGUGCUUAUUUUCUAAAAGAAUAAAAGAAAGUUUGU
rnacentral:lncRNA from 1 species